UACGGAGGAUGCAAGCGUUAUCCGGAAUGAUUGGGCGUAAAGCGUCCGCAGGUGGCUGUGUAAGUCUGCUGUUAAAUAGUGAGGCUCAACCUCAUAAAGGCAGUGGAAACUACACGGCUAGAGUGCGUUCGGGGCAGAGGGAAUUCCUGGUGUAGCGGUGAAGUGCGUAGAGAUCAGGAAGAACACCGGUGGCGAAAGCGCUCUGCUAGGCCGCAACUGACACUGAGGGACGAAAGCUAGGGGAGCGAAAGGG
rnacentral:rRNA from 1 species